rnacentral:ncRNA from 1 species
UAAAAGUUUUAUUUUAACUUAAAAAUUAAAUUUUAUUUUUUAUUAUAUAUAAGUUAUUUUUUAGAAGAGUUUUAUAGUAAUUAUAUUUAUAUAUUAAGGAAAUUUAGAUUUAGAAAUAAUAAUUAGUAUUAACAAAAUUUGUGCCAGCAGUAGCGGUUAUACAAAUAAUAUAAUUUAAUUUUAUUAAUAAAAAUUAAUUUAUUAAAAAAAUUUUUAUAUAAGAUUUUUUAAGUGAAAUUUUAAAUUUUAAAGAUAAAUUUUAAUUUUUAAAUGAAGUUUGUAAGUUUAAUUAAUAAACUAGGAUUAGAUACCCUAUUAUUUUAAAUGUAAUUAAAAAUAUUAAAUUAGUAUUAGUUAUGUUCUUAAAAAUUAAAAAUUUUGGCGGUAUUUUAGUCUUUUCAGAGGAACCUGUUCUGUAAAUGAUAGUCCACGAUUUAAUUUAUUUAUAUUAUUAAUUUGUAUAUCAUCGUAAUUAAGUAUUUUAUUAAAAUUAUUAAUAUUUAAGAUUUUUAAUUAAAAAAUUAAUCAGAUCAAGGUGCAAUUUAUAUAUAAGUAGAAAUGGGUUACAAUAGAAGUAUUUUUGGAUAAUUUUUUUUAUUAAAAGUUUGAAUUUGGAUUUGAUAGUAAUUUUAAUAAAUUUAUUAAUUUGAUUUUGGCUCUAAAAUAUGUACAUAUCGCCCGUCGCUUUCAUUUAAUAUGAAAUAAGUCGUAACAAAGUAGAUUUACUGGAAAGUAAGUCUAGAUUAUC